rnacentral:rRNA from 1 species
AUGGGAGGUGACUUUAACCAAAUUCUCUACUCACAUGAGAAGGAGGGAGGUGCACUGCGCCCAUUGAACAUGAUGCAGAAUUUCAGGGAUGCGUUGGUGGACAGCGAGUUGGAAGAUAUGGGGUACACGGGUGAUCAAUUCACAUGCUGAUGAAGAAGGUUACGAGAAAGGCUGGUUAGAGCCAUUUGUAAUGGAAAAUUCCAAGGCCUCUUUCCCAAUGCUAAGGUCACGAAUACAACACAUACUGAGUCGGAUCAUAGGCAUGUUCCGUUGGAUAUAGAAUGUCAUGUCGAGAGUGGCCAAUUCAGAGCAAAAAAUCAAACAAUUCGAGGCAAGGUUGCUAAAAGAGGAUGA